UACGAAGGGGGCUAGCGUUGUUCGGAAUCACUGGGCGUAAAGGGCGCGUAGGCGGCUUUAUAAGUCGGGGGUGAAAGCCUGUGGCUCAACCACAGAAUUGCCUUCGAUACUGUAUGGCUUGAGACCGGAAGAGGUAAGUGGAACUGCGAGUGUAGAGGUGAAAAUUCGUAGAUAUUCGCAAGAACACCAGUGGCGAAGGCGGCUUACUGGUCCGGUUCUGACGCUGAGGCGCGAAAGCGUGGGGAGCAAACAGG
rnacentral:rRNA from 1 species